rnacentral:lncRNA from 1 species
GUACUUGAAGCCGGAGGAGAGACCCCGGCCGAAGUCCUUCAUACAGUCCUGGUACAUCUGCUUGGCCACACCGGACGCGCUGGAGUACACGUUGCCGGAGCCCGUGGGGUACUCGAUGAACAGCUUCAGCUCGUAGUCCAUGCCGGGCUUGGAGACGGCGUCGAAGGCGAAGACGCGGCCCAGCAGCGAGUGGUCCUUCUUGAAACGCACCUCGUAGGGCGUGCAGCCAGCCAGCGUGAGCAGCGUGUCGCGGACCAUCUUGGGCUUGUUGGCCCACUCCUCCGCGCGGUUGCGCAGGCUCUCGCUCAGCUCGGCCAGGGCCUCGGCGUUGCGCUGCUUCUCCUUCAGCUCGCGCUCCUGGUCGGUGCUCGACACCGAGCCGGGCCUUUUGCCGCCAGCACCCACCCCCACCUCCGCCACCGACGACGAGGUCGAAGACGACGCCGAGGACGACGCGGCCGAGACGCCCGGGGCGCCCCCAAGACAAGCGGGGCCCCCGGGUGCCCCUGGGGGCGCGGGCGUCGGGGGCCCACGGCUGCCGAGGCCGUGGGGCGGCGGCGGGGGCAGCACCGCGGCGCUGGCCGGGCCGUUAAGUAGCGUCUGCGGCAGCAGGUUGGGGGGCACCGCGAGCUGGGGGCCUCCACCACCCCCCGGGUUGGGCAGCCCCGUCACUAGCCCACCGUGCGUCCCGCGCCGAGACGCCACCGACGCCGCGGCAGAAGAGGAGUUGGGGCUCUGGCGGUUCAGCUCCGGGGGUCCCUCCUCCGGUGUCGGCUUGGGGAAGCCGUUGGGGCCCCCCAGCCCGUUGGGCAGCCGCGCGGCGUGGCUGCUGCUCCCCAGGCUCACCGGCGGCGGCGGGUACUCGAAGCGGCUGCGCUGCUCCACGGCGGCGGCGGCGGCCCGGGGGAGCGGCCGUCCUGAAAGCAGCCGUGCGCCCGCUUCAGCUGGCGCGCCGUCUCGAUCACGAACUCGAUGCGAUCGGCGCCCUCGUAGUUGACGCAACCGCGGCAUACGGGUUCCGAGAAGUCCCAGAUCAUGGCCCAGGGCAUGCGGGGCAGGUCGCACAGGUAGCAAGACUGUCUCCGGGACGAGGACACCUGCGCCGCCGACAUGAU